ACGUAGGUGGCAAGCGUUGUCCGGAAUUACUGGGUGUAAAGGGAGCGUAGGCGGGGCAGCAAGUUGAAUGUGAAACCUAUGGGCUUAACCCAUAGUUGCGUUCAAAACUGUUGCUCUUGAGUGAAGUAGAGGCAGGCGGAAUUCCUAGUGUAGCGGUGAAAUGCGUAAAUAUUAGGAGGAACACCAGUGGCGAAGGCGGCCUGCUGGGCUUUAACUGACGCUGAGGCUCGAAAGCGUGGGUAGCAAACAG
rnacentral:rRNA from 1 species